rnacentral:rRNA from 1 species
UACGUAGGGUGCAAGCGUUGUCCGGAAUUAUUGGGCGUAAAGAGCUCGUAGGCGGUUUGUCACGUCGGCUGUGAAAACCUGAGGCUCAACCUCAGGCCUGCAGUCGAUACGGGCAAACUAGAGUGUGGUAGGGGAGACUGGAAUUCCUGGUGUAGCGGUGAAAUGCGCAGAUAUCAGGAGGAACACCGGCGGCGAAGGCGGGUCUCUGGGCCAUAACUGACGCUGAGACGCGAAAGCGUGGGGAGCGAACAGG